rnacentral:rRNA from 1 species
UACGGGGGGGGCAAGCGUUGUUCGGAAUUACUGGGCGUAAAGGGUGCGUAGGCGGCUCUCUAAGUCGGAUGUGAAAACUCUGGGCUCAACCCAGAGACUGCAUCCGAAACUGGGGGGCUAGGGUUCUGGAGGGGAAAGCGGAAUUCCUGGUGUAGCGGUGAAAUGCGUAGAUAUCAGGAGGAACACCGGUGGCGAAGGCGGCUUUCUGGACAGACACCGACGCUGAGGCACGAAAGCUAGGGGAGCAAACAGG